rnacentral:tRNA from 1 species
UCCGGGGUCGUCUAAGGGGAGGACGCCUGCCUUUGAAGCAGGCGAUGAAGGUUCGAGUCCUUCCCCCGGAG